AGGUGAAGGGGAUGAGAGUGAACGUGUGGCCAGAUUGAGAGAUCAGCAGAACUGGCCAAGAAGGAGCUGUUAAUGCUCUAUCUGUGGAUUCGGGCUUCUCGAUCGCGGAUUAGUAACAGACUCAAUGGAUGUCUUAUUGAGCCCAAAAGCCUGUCCUCCAACGCUGCCAUGGCACCAUUAUGCUGUUCUGAGGACCUUGUUGAAGACAGGAGAGAACCGAACAGCAUCACGCCAGUCAUGGAGAACACUCAAGACAUCAAACUCUGUGUGGAUGUGUUAAUACACAACAAGUAAAUCACAACGAUUCUACGAUUCAACCUAAGUUCCUUUGGUGUUUUGUAAAUGUCAGACACAUCAGUUGACAUUCAUUCUAUGUUCAAGCAAAGACCUGUUGAGGAAGAGUGUGGGGAAGACCUUCCUCUGCAGCCAGAGGUGCACUGACUCAUUCACUGAUUUAAUGAACGCAUCAUCCAUCCAUCUAUCCAUCAAGCUAGU